CAGCCUGGGUGACAGAAUGAGAUUCUGUCUCAAAAAAAAAAAAAAAAAAAAAAAAAAAAAGCUGAAACACUGCUCUAAGAAACAGAUCAAUAUCAGUCAUUUCCCCCUUGGAUAGGCCGCUCAUUUCUGGACUGGAUGCUCUAGAAGAAGGUGAGAAAGAUGGCAGAAAAUAUCAGUUUCUGCUGGUGGCAUCUGCCUAAACUGUGCAAAAUCACUUUCAUUCAGGGGGCACUCCCUCUCAGUCUUUCCAUAGUGCUCAUCCAGAUUAGGACCAUCCUCUGAAGCCCCAAGGCAAGGGCCCUCUGGCCUCCUCUACAAUACACCCUGAAGCAACUGAAGGCUUAAAGCAAGGUAACAGAAUUCUUGAUGGCAGAUUGAAAGCCAGCAUACAUUUUAAUAAUUCUAGGAAUAUUCUCGGUUGAAAUGCCUCUGCAGCUUCUACUCUAAUUGACCCUGGGAUGGAAAUCAAGAGGAAAGUAACCUUUGGAAUCUCAGGGAUCAAAGGCAAAACCAGCUGCCUAGUCCUGAGCAGCUGCGCCCAGCAAGCUUCAAUGCCAGCGUGCUCUGCAGGUACCACGGUUGUUUGUAAGUCUGAGCUUCGUGCUAGACUUUCUGCCUACAAGUCCAGCUGCUCCUGUGCCCAGCAUGCACCUGACUCAUUCGAGGUGCUGGUGACUCUCCAGUGAAUCAGGCCUAGUAUUUACCACGUUGGUGCGUGGCUGCUGCUGUUUACAUGGCUACUGUAAGCCAGCAGCUGGUUCAAAACAUUCAUUUUAUCCCCACCCUCAGUAUGUAUGUAGUUACCUUAUUUUCCUAUAUUUUUUCAACUGUUCCAAAUUGACAUCACAAGUCAAAAUGCUUUCUGAAAAAUGAGAGAAGACCUGUCACAAAGCCAACAUCCUAUGUAGAUACUUAGUUCAGCACAGCAUGUGAAGUUCUAAAGUGAGAAUUCUCUCCCUCAGCAGUCUGAAUUUUUUAGCCGUCCUUUACAUAAAUCAUAACCAGAUCUCACUGAUAAUACUAGACUGAUAAGGGGAAGAUUUAUUUAGGAAAGGUAAAACUCCUCAUUUGUAUCACACAGCUUCACUUGUAUAACAAAAGAACAUCCGAAUUCCUCCAAAUUGAACAUAGUCACUAGGAGGCCUUUCCCAGCCUAAAUCAAAAGCACUGCCCUCCCCCGGCCUGCCCUUCACCCACCCCCAUCUAAAUUCAUCAAUUACAAGUCAACAGUGUGGCACUCAGCUCCAGCAUUGUGGGUGGAGACCACGAACAGACAACUGGCGCUCACUCUUCUGGUUUCCUACAGCGUCUUAAAGCUUCUCUAAAGCACAGCUUCCAGCUUUCCUAUCCAGAGUGCAGGAGAGGGCCCUGGGAAGAAGCCCACAAGCCUGCCGAUCUGGUGGAAGAAAAUGCUGGGCCUGGCAGGAAACAAAGCCAGCGCAAUGCCGAAUGCGAAGCUCAGCAACCGUGCACGACAGAGUGCUGUGGGUGCAGCUCCUUUGUGUGCCUGCCGCACGGGUCAGUGGCCAAUCAACAGGCUGGAAACUCAGGGGUUCCCCCUGUUUGGGGCCAGAUUUAUUGUGUAACCUCAGGCAACUCCCGCCUCACUCUGAUUCAGUGCUUUAAUCUGCAAAUCAGGGAUGAAUAUCCAUGUAAUGGUACUGAGGAGCAGUAAAAAGCAUAGAUGACUUCAGAGCCUGCUGCAAGUAGGAAAUACAGCAUGGGAGAGAAGAGGACAAAGAAUUGCUUAGAAGGAAAUAUGCAAAUAUCUCAAAUACAACUUGGGUUUGCUUCUGUUCGGACUGAGAAGAAGGAACAGUAGACAUACAACACACUGACAUCUAAGGGAACCUUAUGAUGUGUGACCAUCUUGAUCACGUUAUCUCCCAACACUCAAGACAGCUCAUCAGCCAGGAAGUUGUUUACGUGGCUUCACUGAGAACUGCACUUCUUCCGAGACCUCAAAUUCCAGGACACUCACUCUACAGUACACUCACUCCUCCACUGCAACUUCUAAAUAUUCAUCGAGAACCUUCUGCCACCCCACCCCACCCAGCAGUCUCCUGACCUUUCUUCCUCACACACCUCCCCUAUGUUAGAUGCAGAAUUACCAGACACCUUUGCUCUCCCACCCCAGUAACCCUAGACCCCAGCGCCCGCCCAUCUUCCUACUCCCACGACACCUCCAGGGCUGCUGGGGAAAUGGAACUUACCAGGCAGGCAGCGUCACCACAAAUGGCGCUCUCUAGCUUUGGGCAGAGUUUUCAGUGCUGCAUGACUAUUCUCAUACUUGUCCCAGACCUUCUCCCUUUCCCAGUCUCUUCGGCGGCCAUGCUAACUUCCCCUCCCAGGGUCAGUCCCCUCACUCUUAAGGCUUCACCUCCUACCUGCUUCGUAGAGAAAGGAGAAGACAUCAGACACACCAGCCACUCCGCCUCCCAGGCCCCCAGUACACCAACGGUCACCAUCCCCUGUACAACAUACUGAUCAGGACCCAGACUAGGGGGAGACAAGGGAGCCAUUUACUUUAGGAGCAAAAUUUAAGGGGGUACCAAAAACUCAGCAUAAUACUUUGAUUUAAUAAAAAAUUUUUAAAAAUUAAAGUUAAGGCAAAAAAUCUACAAUAAACAAAAUGUCCAACCUGUAAACCAAGACAGGAUCCAGCCCUGCGCUUGCACAGCACUGCCUCACCUGACUCCCCUAACCCUGUCCUGCUGACUGGGGCCUACUGUGGGCUGAAUACUGCUGACUUCCAUGGACAUGUCUGCAUUCUUAGUAUAUGUAUAUAUACCAAGUUAAAGUACCAGAAAACAAUACUAGCCCUUACUGUAUACAACGAAGUAUCAUAAAACAAUGAUACUUUAUGUACAGAAUGUAUAUGUGUGUGUACAUAUAUGUAUAUAUAGACAUGAAACCUAAAAUGGCUGUAUGAACCAUAAAUGGAUUAUGUUCCACACAGCCGAAACCCCCAAUCUAGAAUGGAAUCCAACCCCUACCAUAAAACCAUCCUCUUCCUUCAACUGCUGCCAAAACAAGAACCCAGAAAUUCUAUGUAAGAAGGCAGUAUAAUUUCAUGGAAAGACUAACCAAUUGGAAGAAAACUAAGAAAUUUAAUCAUUCCAUUCUAGCUCUGGUUUUUUCCUUGCUGGGGAAAUAAAAUAUUGUAGUGAAACCUAUAUAGAAAAUAAGACUGAAUUGAUGAUUUUCUUCAUUUUAACAAUCAAUUUAAUAUUUGGAGUAUCUCUGUGAGUCAUGAAAAUAUAAUGAUCCCUUUAAAAGUGACAUGCUUAUAAAGCAGGACUAUAUAAGACUCCUCCAGUGAGUCACAAUUUAAAAAAGAAAUUCCUUUAUAUCCUCAUUCUUUUCUACCUUUUACAUUUAAACUUUUAUUACUUAAUAAAGUCCCAUGUGAGAGGGUUUUCAGCUCCUGCCCAGACAUAUCUAAAGGAAAGAAAGAGAAAGUUUCCUGUACCAUCUUCACGCUGCAUUUUGCGCUACAUUCCAAGUUCUCUUCCUGGCUCCUUCUCAUCAUCUGUGUCCUGUUAAGUAUAGCUAAGACCAAUCUUCAGAUCAGGAAGAAUAAGCCCCAGAUUUACUGGAAAAGCUAUAAUUUCAUCUUCAUAGAUUUUUUUCCUUAAUAAAUUAGUUACAAUAAAUAAUUGGUGUUAAGAAAUGUAACUCGUUACUAUUUGGUACUAAUUGCCUAUUCUGUUUG